rnacentral:lncRNA from 1 species
AAACAUACAAAAUUCUGGAGUAACUCUCUCCUUCCCAAGGUAAGGAUUUUCGACAACUUGGUUAUGUUGACCUGUUUCAUUGGCCCACAAAAAUUGUGACGUUUCUUAUUGAGCACACCAUGAUAUUAAAUUUAUAGUGAGGAUAUGAUGUUGAUCUAUAGUAAAUUCUUUUUGUUUCCAUCUUUAGCGAUUCUGAGGGCAUAUAGUUCAUGAUUUGUUAUUUAUUCUUAGGUGUUGCAGGAGAGGAUGUGAUUUUGAUUUAAGUCUUGAUAUGCUUUUCUCAGAAUCAAACUUCUCUCGACUCUUCUUUUACUCAUCAAGAUUUUGUUUUGUAUAAUUUUUUAAUAUAAUUCUUUGUUUGGUAAUCGAGAGACGCAUUUAUCCGUUUUGCAGCGGGCUAAGAGCUUUCGAUGUCUAGAAUGCGUUCAUAAAAUAGACAAGAGCACAGAGCCAAUAGUUUUAAUUUGGUGAUCUCUAAUAAAUUCUUUUUGUUUCAAUCUUUAUCGAUUCUGAGAGCAUGAAUUUCAUGAUUUGUUAUUUAUUCUUAGGUGUUGCAGGAGAGGAUAUGAUUUUGAUUUACGUCUGGAUAUGCUCUCAGAAUUUCACACAAUCAAACUUCUCUUGACUCUUCUUUUACUCAUCAAGAUUUUUUGUAUAAUUUUUUGAUAUAAUUCUUUGUUUGAUAAUCGAGAGAUGUGUUUAUCCGUUUUGCAGUGGGCUAUGAAGUUUCGAUGGAAUGCCUUGAUAAAAUGGACAAGAACAUGGAGC